rnacentral:rRNA from 1 species
GACGAACGCUGGCGGCGUGCUUAACACAUGCAAGUCGAACGGAAAGGCCCUGCUUUUGUGGGGUGCUCGAGUGGCGAACGGGUGAGUAACACGUGAGUAACCUGCCCUUGACUUUGGGAUAACUUCAGGAAACUGGGGCUAAUACCGGAUAGGAGCUCCUGCUGCAUGGUGGGGGUUGGAAAGUUUCGGCGGUUGGGGAUGGACUCGCGGCUUAUCAGCUUGUUGGUGGGGUAGUGGCUUACCAAGGCUUUGACGGGUAGCCGGCCUGAGAGGGUGACCGGCCACAUUGGGACUGAGAUACGGCCCAGACUCCUACGGGAGGCAGCAGUGGGGAAUAUUGCACAAUGGGCGGAAGCCUGAUGCAGCAACGCCGCGUGCGAAAUGACGGCCUUCGGGUUGUAAACCGCUUUCGCCUGUGACGAAGCGUGAGUGACGGUAAUGGGUAAAGAAGCACCGGCUAACUACGUG